GCAGUAGAUAGAAGCACAUCCCGUUGUCAACAGCCAUUUUCUUCUUCAAGUGUUAUGGUUCAUAAUCAUCACUCUGCAGGAAAAUUGAACACAGUCUCGAUGGGGACACCACAUUCUCCUCCUGAAUCCAUGGUAUUGUAGAAGGAUCCUGAAUCUGGCCCAUAAAGAAUUCACUGAAUCAAAAAAAGUAGUGUACCUUAAAACCAUACAAGAUACUGUAGAGGUAAUUGGUUCAACCUGGGACGUAAACAGAUCCCAUUGUGACAGAUAAUCACUGGCAUACCUUCAGAGAAUUGUGUUUUUAUUUUCUGGGUGUGGUCAGUACUCCAUACUGUCGGGCAUCCUAUUUCAGGUCUGGAUCGACUACUGAC